GGAUUUUGCAUGCUGCUUUAGAGUAAAGUGUCCUAGAACUUUGAAAAGUCAAAUUAGCAAUGAAUCAGGGAGGAUACGUGCAGGUCAGGAAGUACACCAUGGGGCCUUCAUUACCAUUAUAUCCUGAGGACCACAUCUUGGAAGAAAAUAUAAAGCAGAAGAUGUCCCUCGAUAAUCUUUAAGUGAGUGUCCACCUCCAGGUUAAAUAACUGAGAGAAACUUCCGCCUGCUUUGACUUUGAGGACCAGCAUUGCUCAAAGGGCUGCCAAAAUUCUGAUUAAGUUGCUGUUUGGUUGCUAUCUCUUUGGCCUGUUCUUUGCAUACGUUCAUUUUUAUAAUCCAGAAUUCAUCUCUGAAACAUUUUGAGCAUUCCGAAGUGAUCAGAGCAUUCAUUGAGUGCUUUAGGCACUGUCCUCCCCACCCCUCCCGGACAUAUCUCUACUGGAGAAAUUAGGGCUGUUUGCUCUUUUGAGAAAGGAAAGGAAUUCUUUCUCUCCUUAACUUGACUUACUGCCUAGAAAUUUCAUUUUUAAGGGUCCUAAACUCUUAAAACUCAACAAAGGAGUAAGUGCCUCCCACCAGGACUUGAGCUAUGAUUUCUACUGGCAACAUUGCUGAACCUUUAACCUCUAAACAAGCAGAUGUGUCUUCAUCAGCAUGUCUCUCCUGCUCCUCAAUCAAUUUCUGCUCUUCUAGAGGAAGAAGUUGAGACGUGGAAGAACAUCCAGCAACCUCAGUCUUCCCUUUCCAAGAACAGCCAGUCAGCCUGUCAAACCUUUUGCAUUACAAAACCAUAUGGACAGGAAAGGUUUUGAGGAGAAGCUUUUGCAGCCCACAAUACUUCCAAGCCAUCCUCAGAAGAUGGUGGCAGUUCCAGGCAUCCUGUUCCAGGCUGUUGACAUCUAGCACAUCAUCCCAUUCUUUGGGAGAGUCCAGUGAAUGAUAGUGAUUUCCCUUUAGUCCCAAGGUAGAUUAUGACAUGUCCAUCUUAGGUGGCUCUGCAUGGCAUAACUCAUAGCUUCCUUCAGUUUUGCAAGCUUUUUCACCACAACAAGGUAGGGAUCCAUGAAAAGGCUCAGAUAGGUACUUCUUUGAAUUAAAAGAUUGGGGUUCCAGGAGUCCUCCUCCAGGCU